GACGAACGCUGGCGGCGUGCUUAACACAUGCAAGUCGAACGGAAAGGCCCUGCUUGCAGGGUACUCGAGUGGCGAACGGGUGAGUAACACGUGGGUGAUCUGCCCUGCACUUCGGGAUAAGCCUGGGAAACUGGGUCUAAUACCGGAUAGGAGCCAUUUUUAGUGUGAUGGUUGGAAAGUUUUUUCGGUGUAGGAUGAGCUCGCGGCCUAUCAGCUUGUUGGUGGGGUAAUGGCCUACCAAGGCGGCGACGGGUAGCCGGCCUGAGAGGGUGGACGGCCACAUUGGGACUGAGAUACGGCCCAGACGCCUACGGGAGGCAGCAGUGGGGAAUAUUGCACAAUGGGCGCAAGCCUGAUGCAGCGACGCCGCGUGGGGGAUGACGGCCUUCGGGUUGUAAACUCCUUUCGCUAGGGACGAAGCUUUUUGUGACGGUACCUAGAUAAGAAGCACCGGCUAACUACGCG
rnacentral:rRNA from 1 species